AUGUCCAAAGCCAAUUGUUUUAUCUAAUAGCAUACUCAUACUUGGUCCGAUUGGUAUAUGUAAUGAAUAACACAAGUAGACGUUGGUCAAUUCUAAUAUCACGAAUCGAAACACCGUGAUAGAAUUACAAUUUUAACCUUAUAUUGUGAAACAAUACUCUGUCAGAUCAUAGCUCGUAUCUACGAAUGGAGUUCGUCCUGCAUUUCUAAAACGAACUCGAUUUAUUAUCAUAAGUAUUAUCUUAUGAUAAGAGCUCAUAAAUUACACUAAAUGAUCAUUUUUGUCAAUAAAAAAGUAUAUUGCUCAUUGUAGGAAGAAGGCACUGGAGAAAUAAAGGCUUUGAGUCCCUAUGAUGUUGCUGUGGAAGGAAGUAACAAACUUGUGGCUUACACCAUUUGGAGUGCCAACAAAACGAAGGCGGCUAACAAACAAUCUGGACACCAGUUUCCUUCGGAGCUUUCAGCACACCGGGCCGCUAUACAAGCAAGGCAGCGAACAGAGGAGACCAUCGUUCGGACCAUUAUCACAACAGUCCUGAGUGAGCACGUUGGUCGAAGAUGGCGGGAACUCGGCCGUCGUCUGGGCAUCACGGAUGUCGAGUUGGACGACAUCGAGCGGAGGUGCAACAUCAACCUGAGAGGGCUGAAGGAGAUGUCUGUGGAGAGUCUGCAGCUGUGGUUGGACAGACAACCGUACUGGCCAAACAUCUUUGACGUGUGGUGGGCACUGCAGGACAUGCAGAUGGCAGAUGUGGCAGAUAUCGUACUUGCGACCGUCCAUAACGAGCGAAACCUUGCCGGUGUCAAAGACGAAUGUGAGGAUAACGACGAAGAAGACGGGAUGGAAAAGAACGGAAACAACGACCUUGAAAAAGAAAUGG